UACGUAGGGGGCGAGCGUUGUCCGGAAUCAUUGGGCGUAAAGCGCGCGCAGGCGGCCGCGAGAGCCCGGCGUGAAAGCCCCCGGCUCAACCGGGGGAGGCCGUCGGGGACCUCGUGGCUGGAGGCCGGCAGGGGUGAGUGGAAUUCCCGGUGUAGUGGUGGAAUGCGUAGAGAUCGGGAGGAACACCAGUGGCGAAGGCGGCUCACUGGGCCGGACCUGACGCUGAGGCGCGAAAGCGUGGGGAGCAAACAGG
rnacentral:rRNA from 1 species